GGGCCGUUAGCUCAGCUGGUAGAGCACUCGGCUUUUAACCGAAUGGUCGACAGUUCGAAUCUGUCACGGCCCACCA
rnacentral:tRNA from 1 species